rnacentral:rRNA from 1 species
CAGUCGACGAUGAAUCUUCUAGCUUGCUAGAAGUGGAUUAGUGGCGCACGGGUGAGUAAUGCAUAGGUUAUGUGCCCUUUAGUCUGGGAUAGCCACUGGAAACGGUGAUUAAUACUGGAUACUCCCUACGGGGGAAAGUUUUUCGCUAAAGGAUCAGCCUAUGUCCUAUCAGCUUGUUGGUGAGGUAAUGGCUCACCAAGGCUAUGACGGGUAUCCGGCCUGAGAGGGUGAUCGGACACACUGGAACUGAGACACGGUCCAGACUCCUACGGGAGGCAGCAGUAGGGAAUAUUGCUCAAUGGGGGAAACCCUGAAGCAGCAACGCCGCGUGGAGGAUGAAGGUUUUAGGAUUGUAAACUCCUUUUGUUAGAGAAGAUUAUGACGGUAUCUAACGAAUAAGCACCGGCUAACUCCGUGCCAGCAGCCGCGGUAAUACGGAGGGUGCAAGCGUUACUCGGAAUCACUGGGCGUAAAGAGUGCGUAGGCGGGGUAAUAAGUCAGAUGUGAAAUCCUGUAGCUUAACUACAGAACUGCAUUUGAAACUGUUACUCUGGAGUGUGGGAGAGGUAGGUGGAAUUCUUGGUGUAGGGGUAAAAUCCGUAGAGAUCAAGAGGAAUACUCAUUGCGAAGGCGACCUGCUGGAACAUUACUGACGCUGAUGCACGAAAGCGUGGGGAGCAAACAGGAUUAGAUACCCUGGUAGUCCACGCCCUAAACGAUGGAUGCUAGUUGUUGCCUUGCUUGUCAGGGCAGUAAUGCAGCUAACGCAUUAAGCAUCCCGCCUGGGGAGUACGGUCGCAAGAUUAAAACUCAAAGGAAUAGACGGGGACCCGCACAAGCGGUGGAGCAUGUGGUUUAAUUCGAAGAUACGCGAAGAACCUUACCUAGGCUUGACAU